UGUAAAAACUCCGUACUUAUGCAUCGAAACCUACGACUUAAUAUUCCUUACGGUUGGCUAGUGUCUCGUGAUGGGCAACCAAUGUACAACUGGGCAGGAGCCCCAAUCAACUCCAGUAUGUGCGCAUGCGGGGCAACUGGUUCAUGUUCCGAUACCACGUAUUCGUGUAACUGCGACAGAAAUGACAACGUAGUCAGAGUAGAUGAAGGAUAUGUUACGCAGAAGAGAUACUUACCCCUGAGUGCGGUUCGACUUGGUGAUACCGGUGGUAGGCAGGAGACAGGAAAACUAACCCUCGGGGCGCUGGAAUGUGUCUAGUACUAGUGGUAAAAAAGAAGUGGGGUGAGGGGGUACAGAGCGGUGGUCAAUAACCUCCCAAACACAACAAAAUAUUGUUUAGCAUGAUGGUUACAUUAUAGGCAUAGGCCUAUAUGCCUAGGUGUAGAAAUUCACAACAUUUUAAAAUUAAUACGGUAAUUAAUAAUACAGUGAAGUAAUAAAAAAUUAAUUAUAGUGUUUAAUUAUUAAUACUAAAAGUAUUAUAUUAAUUUUAAAAAAAACUUAAAUAAUUCAAUUAGUUACAAAUUACUUAAAAUUUAAUUACAGUAGCCUUUGUUAUCUUAUACCGUUUUGUAACGUAUAGUGAAUUCGGCGUUUUCCAGUCAAAUUAAAAAACUGUUGGAAUGGCACCAAAUAUUAAUGGAACGAUUGAUUAAUUGGUCGAUUGACUAAUUCUCUAAACGGGCGAAGGGAUCAAUAUUAAUUCGGCCUUCGGCGACCAAAUUAUCUGCUUUGUGGUCGAAUUAACUAUGGAUUUAGGCUCAGUUUGUUCAAUCAAACACUUCCAAUAAGCCUAUAUCGAAAUCUAUUAAUUACUAAAUUGGUUUUACAGGCUAAUAAAAUAAGACACCUACGUAUUAGUUCUUCACCUAGUGUGUAGUUUAUUAGCGUAUAAUAUUAUGGUUUAGCCUAUAAAGAAUAUGAUUAUACAUACUGUACUGGUGAUAAUGGUGUUCAGUUGAAAAAUCAUUAACUACUAUUCGUGGUCACAAAAGUAGACUAUUGUACCAUUAAGAUGUGCACUAAGUUUAAGUACAAAUAGUAUGAAUGUCAUAGUACAAAUAGUAUGAAUGUCAUAGUACAAAUUGUAUGAAUGUCAUAGUACAAAUAGUAUGAAUGUCAUAGUACAAAUAGUAUGAAUGUCAUAGUACAAAUAGUAUGAAUGUCAUAGUACAAAUAGUAUGAAUGUCAUAGUACAAAUAGUAUGAAUGUCAUAGUACAAGUAUGAAUGUCAUAGUACAAGUAUGAAUGUCAUAGUACAAAUAGUAUGAAUCUUUUAUUAUGUAUUAUUCCUGAUGAUGCUUAAAUGAAAGUGAAACGUUGAAAAAAUGGCCUUGUCAAUUUAUGGAGUGACAUUCAUACUAUUUAAACUAUUGUAGGCCUACAGUAUUUGCAUAUUUAUUUUCGUAGUUUUAUCGCACAUCAGUUCGAUACAAAUAUAGAAAUUACAUUGGAUUCGAUUUAUUUCACUUUCAGUAACACACCAACCAUGAAAUUACCUGGUUUUCUUUUUUCUCAAUUCCAGCAUGACUAUUUUUUUUUUCGAAAUUCCAGCAUCAUUAACGGAAUCUUACGGAAAAUAUUGAGCAGAAAUACAGUUGUAUUUUUGAGCACCAAAAACAUUAGUUUGAAGGAAAACAUUAUAAAACAUUCAAUCAGCUUUAAGUAAACACUUUACUACUAGAGAGAUGAAAUGUAUCGAUAGUCUUGAAAUCUGUCUAUGAACUGUAAAAAAUAAAAGCAGUGUAUCGCUGAAUCGUAUGAGACCACAUUUGGGACCAGACGAUUUAGGGUGGUCUCAGGGGUUCGGUCUCUAGUUAGAGGUUUAGCUGUGUGUUAAAACAUUAAAGAUUGUUUGUUGGCGCUUUGAAAAAAGUGAACUCAA
rnacentral:lncRNA from 1 species